rnacentral:lncRNA from 1 species
UCAACUUUCAAUUCAGUCACUCAACUUUUAAAAAAUAACAAAUCAGUCCUACUAACUUUCAAAAAACCAAACACCCAAAAAGAAGAACAAAUAAAACCCUUGAAUGAAUUCUCCUUGUUCAGGAAGAAAGUUGAAAACCAUGGCUUCCUCAUUGCCAUUACCCCAAAUUACUCAACUUUGAUCUCAAUGAUAAAAUGGUCACUUAACUUUGGUCUCAAUGACAAAACAAUCACUCAACUUUCA